GAUGAACGCUGGCGGCAUGCUUGACACAUGCAAGUCGAACGAGGCUUUCCUCCGGGGGAGCCUAGUGGCGGACGGGUGAGUAGCGCGUAAGAACCUACCCCUAGGAGAGGGACAACGGCUGGAAACGGUCGCUAAUACCUCAUCUGCCGAGGGGCGAAAGGCGUACAAGCCGCCUAGGGAUGAGCUUGCGUCUGAUUAGCUGGUUGGUAAGGUAACGGCUUACCAAGGCAAUGAUCAGUAGCUGGUCUGAGAGGACAAGCAGCCACACUGGGACUGA
rnacentral:rRNA from 1 species